UUAUGGUGUAUCUUACAAAUUU
rnacentral:siRNA from 1 species